rnacentral:snRNA from 1 species
ACCCAACGCCUAGCGUUUAGA